GACGAACGCUGGCGGCGUGCCUAAUACAUGCAAGUUGAGCGCUGAAGGUUGGUACUUGUACCAACUGGAUGAGCAGCGAACGGGUGAGUAACGCGUGGGGAAUCUGCCUUUGAGCGGGGGACAACAUUUGGAAACGAAUGCUAAUACCGCAUAAAAACUUUAAACACAAGUUUUAAGUUUGAAAGAUGCAACUGCAUCACUCAAAGAUGAUCCCGCGUUGUAUUAGCUAGUUGGUGAGGUAAAGGCUCACCAAGGCGAUGAUACAUAGCCGACCUGAGAGGGUGAUCGGCCACAUUGGGACUGAGAAACGGCCCAAACUCCUACGGGAGGCAGCAGUAGGGAAUCUUCGGCAAUGGACGAAAGUCUGACCGAGCAAAGCCGCGGGAGUGAAGAAGGUUUUCGGAUCGUAAAACUCCGUUGGUAGAGAAGAACGUUGGUGAGAGUGGAAAGCUCAUCAAGUGACGGUAACUACACAGAAAGGGACGGCUAACUACGUG
rnacentral:rRNA from 1 species